GAUGAACGCUGGCGGCGUUCCUAAUACAUGCAAGUCGAGCGAACAGACGAGGAGCUUGCUCCUCUGACGUUAGCGGCGGACGGGUGAGUAACACGUGGAUAACCUACCUAUAAGACUGGGAUAACUUCGGGAAACCGGAGCUAAUACCGGAUAAUAUAUUGAACCGCAUGGUUCAAUAGUGAAAGACGGUUUUGCUGUCACUUAUAGAUGGAUCCGCGCCGCAUUAGCUAGUUGGUAAGGUAACGGCUUACCAAGGCAACGAUGCGUAGCUGACCUGAGAGGGUGAUCGGCCACACUGGAACUGAGACACGGUCCAGACUCCUACGGGAGGCAGCAGUAGGGAAUCUUCCGCAAUGGGCGAAAGCUUGACGGAGCAACGCCGCGUGAGUGAUGAAGGUCUUCGGAUCGUAAAACUCUGUUAUUAGGGAAGAACAAAUGUGUAAGUAACUAUGCACGUCUUGACGGUACCUAAUCAGAAAGCCACGGCUAACUACGUG
rnacentral:rRNA from 1 species